GAGCCCUUAGCUCAGCCCGGUUAGAGCACUGCUCUUAUAAGGCAGGGGUCCCACGUUCAAAUCGUGGAGGGCUCA
rnacentral:tRNA from 1 species